ACUUGGCCACGAUGACUCUUACUAUAUUCCAUGAUAGAGACAUGACGAGCUAGAGAUAGGCCUAUGAGAUUGGUGACAUAUCCCAUGUUAUUAGACAUGAGGACUUGGUACUUGUGACAGAUCGUUUGACUACUUGCCAUUGUGCUCAUUCGCACAUGCUUGUGAGGGUCGCUCCCUACAAGCCGGCACUCCGGAGAUAGCCAUCGCGAUUCAUAUUCGCCGUGCGAGAUUGGGCGCCGAAGUGGAUUGCCGUGGGCCAGGCUCAUUCCUAGGGUAGGGAUGAUGACUACCACGGGGCCAUUAGGCUCGGCACCGGCCAGACAGCCUACGGGUGGGUCUCAGGGCCUUAGACAGCCUUCAGGUGGGUCUCUUCAGAUUUGACUUCGAGCAUUUACUAUGACAUAUGGACAGAUGAUGACUUAGUGUACUGACUGGAGUCUGACUAGAACAGUAAACACUGGCACUUUACUAUUUUGCAUUAUGGACAUCAUGAUAGUUGGAGACUUUUACUACAUACAGAGUUGCUUUCAUACUUAUGCCUUUCAUGCUAAGUAGAAAUAUCAUAUUGUAGUAAGUUACAUUCUACUUACCGUUCGCUUUCAUACGUUUUUAGACACUGACCCUUUCUUUGUAGCUUGGGCCUUGUGGUGCAUUCACUGAAGUCAGUAAU
rnacentral:lncRNA from 1 species